rnacentral:rRNA from 1 species
UUCCGUAGGUGAACCUGCGGAAGGAUCAUUACCGAGUUCUCGGGCUUCGGCUCGAAUCUCCCACCCUUUGUGAACAUACCUCUGUUGCUUUGGCGGCUCUUUGCCGCGAGGAGCCACAGCUUCUCGCGCGCUUUCCGCCAGAGGACCUUCAAACUCCAGUCAGUGAACGUCGACGUCUGAUAAACAAGUUAAUAAACUAAAACUUUCAACAACGGAUCUCUUGGUUCUGGCAUCGAUGAAGAACGCAGCGAAAUGCGAUAAGUAAUGUGAAUUGCAGAAUUCAGUGAAUCAUCGAAUCUUUGAACGCACAUUGCGCCCCCUGGCAUUCCGGGGGGCAUGCCUGUUCGAGCGUCAUUACAACCCUCAAGCUCUGCUUGGUAUUGGGCGCCGUCCUCUCUGCGGACGCGCCUUAAAGACCUCGGCGGUGGCUGUUCAGCCCUCAAGCGUAGUAGAAUACACCUCGCUUUGGAGCGGUUGGCGUCGCCCGCCGGACGAACCUUCUGAACUUUUCUCAAGGUUGACCUCGGAUCAGGUAGGGAUACCCGCUGAACUUAAGCAUAUCAAUAAGCGGAGGAAGAUCAUUACCGAGUUCUCGGGCUUCGGCUCGAAUCUCCCACCCUUUGUGAACAUACCUCUGUUGCUUUGGCGGCUCUUUGCCGCGAGGAGCCACAGCUUCUCGCGCGCUUUC